GGGCCUCCUCUGCCAAGCCCUCCCACCAUGAUGCACUGGGCUCCCACAGGCCCAGAGCAACAGGGCCAAGCGACCGUGGACUGAAACCUCCGCAACCACGAACCAAGAUAAACCUUUUCUCUGAUUGAGUUGAUUAUCUCAGGUAUUUUGUGAUAUGACGGAAAGCUGACUCAUGGGACCCAUGAUGUUGUCUUGGGGAUUAAACGAAGAAGUGCUGAGAGCAGCAGGGGGACCCAGUGGCACUGCCUAUGUCCUAGCAGGUGCCUGUUGAACGUGUGCUGCUCAAGGAAGCCCAGCACUCCCCAGGUGUCACCCAGGGAGCCGGGCACCUAUGAAAGAGGGUCCUAGCUCAGAGCCAGUGUCUGCCUGAGGCGUGCCAGCUCCUUCAGGCUGUGAAGCUGGACACUGUGGGGACAGAACGAAGGCCUUGAACCAGGCAGAGAGUGGGGAGAAUCACUGUCAAUCUGUUUUUCCAAAUUGCGCUAUUUCAAAUGCCCUGGGCAGAUGCCCACGUGUGCGGGGUCACUCAGCUGGGCCAGAGGCCCUUUGUCUCCUUGAAAGGCCCCAUUGUGACCCCACACCAUCCCCAACUGCUUCUUGGAACAAGAGGCCCUUGUGUGGGCCCUGCAGGCCAGCUCCUCUGGCCCUCGGCUGGCAGCGGGGAUUCUGUCCCUGUGGGGUUGGUGCAGGGCGCCGUCCACCUCCACCUCCAAUAAGAGCCAGUGUUUCGUCAGGUUCUAGAACGUGGAGGAAGCCCUACUUCCCCAGAAGUGGGUCUUCUACAGAGGGGCAGAUGCCCUGGGGACGAACUAGGAGAGGACAGGUGGGGAGGUUGGCUUCCAGAGAAGGUGGGCAGCAUGGGACCCUCCGGGCCACCCUGCCCUGAGGGGAAGGUCACCAGGAGGAUGCCCCCAGGAGGUGCCCCUGAGCCUCCAGGAGCAAGGUGAACAUUCAGUGCCCUGUUGGAGUUGACCCACAGCGGCCUACCCGGGGGCCUCCUGGGCUGCACUCUCCCCGUGGGAGCCCCAGGGAGUGGCGUGAGGGCCCCAGAAGGCAGCAGGGACGGCCUGGGUGGCUCUCUGGGCUGAGUCCAGCCAGAGCACUGUCCACGGGAUCCAGAGGCCCAGCUCCACCCCUGAGGUCCCUGCCAGCUGGCCACUCCACUGGGCAUCUGCUAUCCCGUCCCUUCCCACUGAGCCCCGGCUCCAUCUGGUCCGCAAGCUUCGGCUCUUGGUCACAUCAGGGACAAGAGUCCCUCCAUCCUUUCUCAGGCCCGGGGAAAGGUGAGCUCUGCUCUGGGGGCCUAGGAAGCCUCAGGUCCCUCCCCUUGGCAAGGUACGUGCUGGGCCAGGCAGGCCUCUGGCUCUCCGAGGAGAGCCCAGGGGCUGCCUGACGGGGCACUGUCAUGGCCCCGCUCUCGAAAAGAAGACGGAGUCCAAGGCCCACGCACCCCCGCCUGUGAGGCCCUGGUCGAGGUCGGGGCUGUCCCUCUGCCCACACAGGCAGGUGCCCGUGCCACGUGCAUGUCCACCAGAGGUGCUCACGGUGGCUUCUCCCUUUUUCUCUCCCCUUCAGCCCUGGGGAUUGAACCCAGGGCUCUCCCUGAACUCCAUCGCCAGCCCUUUUUAUUCUUCAAGUUGAGACAGGCUCUCACUAAGUGGCAGCGGCUUCCAACAUGUGAUCCUCUGUCUCUGUGUCCCAAGUCCCUGGUGUGUGCCACCGCACUGACUUUAUUGUCGUCACUUCUUGAGAGGCCAGUAGGUCAGAUCUGCAUAAGGACAGAUCUGGGAGUAAUCAGGGCCCCAAGGCCAGAAGGGGCUGCCCAAGGCCCCCAUGCAAAGAGGCCUGGGCACCAGAUCCACCCCUUCCUGGAGGGGCCAAGGGAGCCAGCGUCAGGGGCUCAGCCAUAGCUCAGUCUCUGGGGUCUGGGUGCCUUUGCUCUUGCCCAGUGGGUUCCUUGAAUGUCCUCCCUCGUCACCCCUGGCUCCCCAGGCAUCAUGGGUUCUCAGAGGAGUGGUGCCCUGAGCAGGCAGGACUGCCACUCAGCGGACACUUGCACCUGCAGACACCAAACAGCUGGGUACAGACAGCUGCGAGCUGGUGCAGGAGCUGAGGGGCACCGGGUGGGUUGGUUAGAGGGGCAGGAGAAGGGCAGCAAGACCUGGGGAGGGCAUUCGGGGGCCUGAGGAAACCACACCUGCCCCAUUCACACCCAAUUCCAGUAGGAUGCAAUUCAGGGGCUGAGGUCACGGCUCAGUGGUGGAGCACUUGCCUGGCCCGUGUGAGGCACUGGCUUUGAUCCUCAGCACCACAGUAAGAUAACACACAAAAAGAAAGAUCCAUCUAUACUGAAAAGUAUUUAAAAAAAAAAUCGGAUGCAACUCAAAUGGGAAAUGAGUUGCAGAUUUCUAAAUGGUCUCGGGUCAGAAGGGACAGGAAGCUGUAUCAGACUCGUCAGCAAAGCCGUGGACUAGUAAGGGCUUUAUCACUAGCAAAAAUGAGAAAGGUCCUAUGAAAGUUUAUUUAAAUGAUUAAAAAAAUUUAACUUUGGGAAAUUCAAUUCAACCUUCUUGCCUCCCUCCCUUCCAUAAUGCAAAGGAGCCUCGCUUGCACCAAGUUCUGGGGUAAGCGCCCUGCAGAGGGCAGUUUUGAGACUUCCCUCCAUCGACACUGAAUGACAAAUUUUGUAAACACAUGACAAACCCCUAUUAUUUCGUAAUUUGUAGUUUAGUUUUGCUUUUUAGCUACAGCCCCUGCCAAGCCUGUUGCUCAUGGUUUACUAUGAAAUUUCAGUUAUGUUCACUGGACUUGUCGCAAGUGGCUAGAUUUUGAUACCAGUGACCCAGAUUUUUGAUACCAGUGACCCUGGAAUGUCACUCAUUCUUGAGCCACGGGAUCAAGGGGACUCAGAACAGGGGCUGGGCUUCCAGAUUCCCAACUUAGGGACCUUUGUCUACUUACAGCCUGGACAGCUAACACCAGAAACCCAGUGUCCACCGGUUGUCUCUGCUUCCUUCCACUCUGCAGCCGGGUCCCCUUUCUCCCCAGCGACAUUCUAAAACCAGUUGAUUAUCCAUGUCACCAGGGAACACAGAACAGACCACACAGCUCAAAACAGUUCGGAUCAGCUUUACAAAAAGUGAGAGGAAACAUCUGUACCUAGUUUUCUUUGGGUUUAAGGAAUUUUUUUCUUUCUUUCUGGUUUUUUUUUUUUUUUUUUUUUGGUACCAGGGAUUGAACCCUGGGGCACUAACCCACUGGGCCACACCCCAGCCCUUUCUUGUAUUUCAUUUAGAGCCAGGGUCUCACUGAGUUGCUUAGCGCCUCACUGAGCUGCUGAAGCUGUAUUUGCGAUCCUCCUGCCUCAGCCUCUGAAGCCACUGGGACUACCAGUGGGUGCCACCACGCUGGGCGGUUUAAGGGAAUUCUAACUGAGCACAGACUAGACUACUGGGGGGAAUGGCUGGGGCCCAGGCUGGCACUUGGCGAGUUUCCCGGGAGGGGAUGCCAUCCGGGCAGUAGAUUCUGGGAGGGUGAGGGCAGUGGCUGAGCGUGCAUGAUGUCAUCUGACUGUCACUGAGGCUGCCUCCUAAUUAAGUCAAAGGUCCUCAGAAGGCUGCCAGGAGCGGGCUCCCAGCACGGGGCAAUUCAAAACCAAACCCCCAGCACAGCCACAGAGGGACUAUACACAUGGGCACUUUAUAAAGUCUUUCAGAGGGUUCUCAUCUUCUGCUGUGGCAUUUGGAAAUGUCUUUCAGGUGAGUUUCAGUUCCUACGACGCUUAGAAGCACCCCAUGAAAUGGGUCUCCACGGAGCCCGUGGGAGCUCCCAUCUGCUGUUCUCAAGACCCAGCCCAGGGGCCAGCAAGGGAUGCUGUGGUCUUCUGAGGUCACGCUCCCCGUGUCCCACCCCACAGGCCCCCCCAAGACAGGAAGAGGCCCUGGACAGCUCAGCACUGCAGGUUAGCAGCCAGUCCCUGCCCUGGUGGAAAGGUCAAUGGGAAGGUCAACAUGAUACCCGUGGGAAAGUGUAGCUUUUUUUUUUUCUCUUCUUUUUGCCCCGUUGAGAGCAUCUCUGCCUUCUAGAAAGUUACGCUGAAGGAUGGGCUGAUCCGCCAACACCUCUGGGUUUUCAGCUCAAGUCUGGCUGCUUUAUGACGACUUCCACCUAAUUAAAGAGAACACGGCGUGGACCACGUAGAGCAGCGUGGCGACAUAGGAGAACACCUGGAACCCAGAGAGAGCCCCAUUAGUGUUGGGGGUGGGGGGCAGGCAGGGAGGCCCACGGGUCCACGCUGCCUGGAGCACCACAUGGCCCUUGGGCUGCCACUGCCCGUCACUCAUGCACACACCCUUUCCUGGGUAGCCCAGGUGCAUCCCUAAUCCUCUCCCCACACAGCCCCAGGGGACCUGACUCAAGAUCCCUGGGUCCUAGAAUGCAAGAUGAAACCACCAACUUCACCCAACGUCCAGGUGUGGUCAGCUGACUUGAAAUGGGAACACUGAGGGCCCCUGCAAGGAAAGCAUCCAGGCAGGUGU
rnacentral:lncRNA from 1 species